CGGACGGGUGAGUAAUGUCUGGGAAACUGCCUGAUGGAGGGGGGUAACUACUGGAAACGGUAGCUAAUACCGCAUAACGUCGCAAGACCAAAGAGGGGGACCUUCGGGCCUCUUGCCAUCGGAUGUGCCCAGAUGGGAUUAGCUAGUAGGUGGGGUAACGGCUCACCUAGGCGACGACCCCUAGCUGGUCUGAGAGGAUGACCAGCCACACUGGAACUGAGACACGGUCCAG
rnacentral:rRNA from 1 species